GCAGAGAUGGCAGAACCCGGUUCAAUGCGUCGGUCUCGAAAACCGAUGGGAGCAAUCCCGUGGGGGUUCAAAUCCCCCUCUCUGCG
rnacentral:tRNA from 1 species